GUACAAUUAGUUGAGAAACGUACAAUAUACACAAACAAAUACAAGAGGUAAGAGAGCCCUGCCCGUAAGCUGAUAUCUAGCCAUUGGAGCUCUUUUAUACAAAGUGCUUAGCUAGAUGGCCCUUGAGACAAAAGGUAGCAGGGGAAGUUUGGAGGUGAUGGCUGAAAGAGUUAACAGAGAAGCAGCUAUUGGUAAGAUGUUAG